CUAAGCAAACAUUCAUAGUCAAGAAAAUCACUCAUUUCAUCAAAAGCAUUCAGUUGAGUCCACAAAAAAGCACCAUCAAGUGUGUUGUAUACCAUCAGGUGGAAACAUGGAUAGGUCUCUAUAUUUGACAUUAGAAUCCUGUUUGGCACCUGACAUCAUCAGCUGGUUGGGUCAUGUUGAAACUGAAAGUUCAGCCUCUAUUUAUACACUCGUGUGAGAGUCGAAUGAACUCAGAAGACAAACAGAGCACAGGUGAACAAUAACUCGCAAGGAAAGAUUUCGCUUUAUAUUUACUAAUCCAUGGAAAAUCAUGAAUCGGUCUACAUUCCUGCUGUUUUCGGACACGACGUUGCCGUCAGACCAAUGUUUGCUGGGAACAGUCUUUAAUGAAAAUCCAACAAAGACAAGACAAGAAUCACAACCAUGAAUGCUGUAAAUGCUGUGCAACUGUUAAUUCUGGUUUGGACCUUUACUGCUGUCUGUCAAGCUGAUAAACAUAUCAACCUAAGCUGUGAGAAUGUGACUGGUUCUGUGGGGAAAGAAGUAAAUCUCACCUGCAGCGUCUCACUGCUGAAAGCUGACUGCUGCAUUGAAAUGUAUAAGUUUCAAUACCCUGAGAGAUUUAAUGACCCAGCAAUCUGUAAAAAAGUGCCUCCUGAAUCCUGUGAACAGAGAAACAGCUUCACAUGCCGCUACACUCCAACUACAGCAAUGACAGAACAAUUCAGAUUCUUUGUGCAAACAACGUGUGGAGCAGAAAGAACAGAAUUCACUAUGGACAUAUCAGAGUCAUCAAAAAACCAAGAGAAAUCUGGAUCUAUGGAUGCUGUCAUCACUCCAGUUGUGGGCUUAUCCGUCAUCAUCAUCUUUAUCAUCAUCUUAAUGACAAUCAUUUGCAAAAAGAAAUCUUUUGGAUUCCAGAAAAGAAUGUUUCCGUGCAUCAAACAUGACGAUGACAACAGUAAUUAUCCUGAAGAUGUGAUAUAAUAUUGAUUCAGCAAUACAAAACUAAUGAGUUUUGUUUGGGUUUCCAUGUGGUGCUCAUGAAACACACAAGCUUUAUUUGAACUCCACUAAACUAUCUGUUAUAUCUCAAACUACUCAAUAUAUAACUCUGGUUGUUGAUUUAAAACUAAGUUUCUGUUUUAUACAAGUUUCUGUGAAAUAACAGCAUAUCAUUGAUCUGUUUGAUCAGUGUAUACAGGGCUGGACUGGGACAAAAAAAUCUGCCCUGGCAUUAUUUGGUCCUGGUGGCCCACCACUAUAUAUAUAUAUAUGAAUGGUAUACAUAUGAUAUACACUACCAUUCAAAAGUUUUUGAACAGUAAGAUUUUUCAUAAUUUUUUUGGAAGAAGUCUCUUCUGCUAACCAAGUCUGCAUUUCUUUGAUCCAAAAU